rnacentral:lncRNA from 1 species
ACUUCAGAUACUUUAUUUCGCAAUAAUAGUUGUUAACAAAGCCCCUUAAUGUUACAACAAUGGCACUAAGGUUCUUCCCUGUAUUGUUAAUUACCAAUGAAACGAGGGGAUUUCAUUGGCAAACUUUUUAUAAUACUACAUAGUAUUACGUGUUAGUUACAAUUUACAGAGUAAUAGCUGUCUACAACAUGUAUACAUUACUUUACUUUACAAUGAAAAAGAAAACGGAACUCUGAC